rnacentral:snRNA from 14 species
AACCUCGCCAGGCAGGGAAGUGAACCAGGAGCACAGAUGUGGUUUUCCCAAGGCAAGGUUCAUCCCCUCUACUCCAGAGAUGCCAACCCUUAUUUCUCAAACACAGGAGAAGCAACUACAUGACUUCUGGUAGUCAGGGCUCGCUCAUACUAUUCCCUGA